AUGUGGUGGAAGGUCGGAGACUUGAUACUUAAGAGGAAGAGGAAGGCGCCAAGAUGCACCCCCGAGUUGCUGGAAGAGCUUGUUCUAGAGAUUCUUUUUCGGUUGCCAGUCAAAUCCCUCCUGUGGUUCAAGUCUGUCAGCAAGGCCUGGUGCACAAUAAUCUCCGACCCCGUGUUCAUCCGGAGGCACCUUCUGCGCCAGAAACCCUCCUGGCUCAUCACUCCCCAUGCUUUUGACAGUAUUAUCGAAGGAGAGGACUGGCCAACCACCUUCUCAACCCAAAUUUGCUUCUACCGGUGGCAGCUAGACGUCCCAGAUACUCCCUCCGUUUCUUUUUACUCCGCAUAUAAGAUUCGGUCAAAGUCAAACUACACAAAGUUUGACCAAAUUUGUAUAAAAAAAUAUGAACAUCUACAAUACUAA
rnacentral:rRNA from 1 species